rnacentral:misc_RNA from 1 species
AUCGAUGUGCAUGAUUACCUGGUCAAGACCAAGGCCAUGCACCGCUUCUUCGAAGACGGCGACAAGGUGAAGAUCACCCUGCGAUUCCGGGGCCGUGAAAUGGCUCACCAGGAUCGUGGCAUGGAUAUCAUGCGCCGCGUCAAGGAAGACUUCGCCGAAGUCGCCAAGGUCGAGUUCGAGCCCAAGCUCGAAGGACGACUCAUGGUGAUGGUGAUGGCACCGCGCUAGACGCACCGGCCCGCAAAUUCCGAAUUGUGUCUGAACGCCGCCGCUUUGAAGGCGGCGGCGUUCAGUCGCGGU